rnacentral:rRNA from 1 species
GACAGAGGGGGCAAGCGUUGCUCGGAAUCACUGGGCGUAAAGGGCGCGUAGGCGGGAUGGCAAGUCAGUCGUGAAAUCUCUCGGCUCAACCGAGAAACGUCGGCUGAUACUGCCGUUCUUGAGGGAUGCAGAGGAGACUGGAAUUCUCGGUGUAGCGGUGAAAUGUGUAGAGAUCGGGAGGAACACCGGUGGCGAAGGCGGGUCUCUGGACAGUUCCUGACGCUGAGGCACGAAGGUCAGGGGAGCAAACGGG